CGAAAAAAAAACUAUAUGGAGUUGGAACGUUUGCCUACGUAUGCCGCUAGGGGCGCUCUUCCAACUGCAUACAAAUUUGAACUU
rnacentral:pre_miRNA from 1 species